UGAAUUGUUCGAACACCCACUUCAGAGCUGUUUCAUAUCGCACAGAAUAUGCAAUUUCUGUAGCGGAAUCGAUCGGCUUGCACAACAGCCAAGCUAACGUUGGGAAGUCAAAUCGUUUCUAGUUUACUUUCAACCUCCCGAUCCAAGGCUGUCGCUUAGAUUGGAGAUAACAAUGGCAGGAGUGAUACAAAAGUUCGUUACUGCAUCAAUGUUUAUGUGGUAAUUCCCGUUGCAAUAUUAUAUGCGUUUAACAAUAAUUUGCUUCCUGGUGUAAGCGAGAUGUCUCCCUAUUCACUCACAUUGUUGAGCGGAUUCCUUGCUGUUAUAUCUGUCAACGUAGUUAUCGCAUUUUACAUAUAUAUGGCAAUGAAAGAGCCUUCAGACCAACACAAGCCUGAUCCUGCAUUUCUUGCUGAAGCCGAAGCUAGUGUAAGCAAGUUAAAAGGUGGCGCUGAUAGUUCUUCCCAAUCCUCCAAGAAAGAAGAGUAGGAUACGCUGUUUCCCCGUUUCCACUGUAAGAAGAACGAAGAACACAAAUUUAAAUGCUGCAGUCUGCAGACUAGAUACUGUUUAAGAAUCCAUUUGAUACAUGUACGCUUACUUUCGUCUUUGCCGGCUGCUAUUGAACCUGAGACGAUGUUAUCACAAGUUUCUUUCUGGUUGUAAUUUCACUUGCAACUGUAGGUGUACUCAUCACCCCUUAUUUUUCAGUUAAAUCUUAGUGUUGGAGGAUGAUGGUGCAA